GACGAACGCUGGCGGCGUGCCUAACACAUGCAAGUCGAACGGAAAGGCCCUGCUUUUGUGGGGUGCUCGAGUGGCGAACGGGUGAGUAACACGUGAGUAACCUGCCCUUGACUUUGGGAUAACUUCAGGAAACUGGGGCUAAUACCGGAUAGGAGCUCCUGCUGCAUGGUGGGGGUUGGAAAGUUUCGGCGGUUGGGGAUGGACUCGCGGCUUAUCAGCUUGUUGGUGGGGUAGUGGCCUACCAAGGCUUUGACGGGUAGCCGGCCUGAGAGGGUGACCGGCCACAUUGGGACUGAGAUACGGCCCAGACUCCUACGGGAGGCAGCAGUGGGGAAUAUUGCACAAUGGGCGGAAGCCUGAUGCAGCAACGCCGCGUGCGGGAUGACGGCCUUCGGGUUGUAAACCGCUUUCGCCUGUGACGAAGCGUGAGUGACGGUAAUGGGUAAAGAAGCACCGGCUAACUACGUG
rnacentral:rRNA from 1 species